CGCCUGGGGAGUGCGGCCGCAAGGUUAAAACUCAAAUGAAUUGACGGGGGCCCGCACAAGCGGUGGAGCAUGUGGUUUAAUUCGACGCAACACGAAGAACCUUACCUGGCCUUGACAUCCAGAGAGCUUUCCAGAGAUGGAUUGGUGCCUUCGGGAACUCUGAGACAGGUGCUGCAUGGCCGUCGUCAGCUCGUGUCGUGAGAUGUUGGGUUAAGUCCCGUAACGAGCGCAACCCCUAUCCCUGGUUGCUAGCAGGUAAUGCUGAGAACUCCAGGGAGACUGCCGGUGACAAACCGGAGGAAGGUGGGGAUGACGUCAGGUCAUCAUGGCCCUUACGGCCAGGGCUACACACGUGCUACAAUGGCGCGUACAGAGGGCUGCCAACUCGCGAGAGUGAGCCAAUCCCUUAAAACGCGUCGUAGUCCGGAUCGGAGUCUGCAACUCGACUCCGUGAAGUCGGAAUCGCUAGUAAUCGCGAAUCAGAAUGUCGCGGUGAAUACGUUCCCGGGCCUUGUACACACCGCCCGUCACACCAUGGGAGUGGAUUGCACCAGAAGUAGUUGGUCUAACCUUCGGGAGGACGAUUACCACGGUGUGGUUCAUGACUGGGGUGAAGUCGUAACAAGGUAACCGUA
rnacentral:rRNA from 1 species